rnacentral:rRNA from 1 species
AGAGUUUGAUCCUGGCUCAGAUUGAACGCUGGCGGAAUGCUUUACACAUGCAAGUCGAACGGUAGAGGGGGCAACCCCUUGAGAGUGGCGAACGGGUGAGUAAUAUAUCGGAACGUGCCCAGUCGUGGGGGAUAACGUAGCGAAAGUUACGCUAAUACCGCAUACGAUCUAAGGAUGAAAGCGGGGGAUCGCAAGACCUCGCGCGAUUGGAGCGGCCGAUAUCAGAUUAGGUAGUUGGUGGGGUAAAGGCUCACCAAGCCAACGAUCUGUAGCUGGUCUGAGAGGACGACCAGCCACACUGGAACUGAGACACGGUCCAGACUCCUACGGGAGGCAGCAGUGGGGAAUUUUGGACAAUGGACGCAAGUCUGAUCCAGCCAUUCCGCGUGCAGGAUGAAGGCCCUCGGGUUGUAAACUGCUUUUGUACGGAACGAAAAGGUCUCUCUUAAUACGAGGGGCUCAUGACGGUACCGUAAGGAUAAGCACCGGCUAACUACGUGCCAGCAGCCGCGGUAAUACGUAGGGUGCAAGCGUUAAUCGGAAUUACUGGGCGUAAAGCGUGCGCAGGCGGUUAUGUAAGACAGAGGUGAAAUCCCCGGGCUCAACCUGGGAACUGCCUUUGUGACUGCAUAGCUAGAGUACGGUAGAGGGGGAUGGAAUUCCGCGUGUAGCAGCGAAAUGCGUAGAUAUGCGGAGGAACACCGAUGGCGAAGGCAAUCCCCUGGACCUGUACUGACGCUCAUGCACGAAAGCGUGGGGAGCAAACAGGAUUAGAUACCCUGGUAGUCCACGCCCUAAACGAUGUCAACUGGUUGUUGGGUCUUCACUGACUCAGUAACGAAGCU